UACGAAGGGGGCCAGCGUUGCUCGGAAUUACUGGGCGUAAAGCGCACGUAGGCGGCUCUUUAAGUCGGGGGUGAAAUCCUGGAGCUCAACUCCAGAACUGCCUUCGAUACUGGAGAGCUCGAGUCCGGAAGAGGUGAGUGGAACUGCGAGUGUAGAGGUGAAAUUCGUAGAUAUUCGCAAGAACACCAGUGGCGAAGGCGGCUCACUGGCCCGGUACUGACGCUGAGGUGCGAAAGCGUGGGGAGCAAACAGG
rnacentral:rRNA from 1 species